rnacentral:rRNA from 1 species
UAUUGGACAAUGGGGGAAACCCUUAUCCAGCGACGCCGCGUGAGGGAAGAAGGUUUUCGGAUUGUAAACCUCUGUCAGUGGGGACGAUAAUGACGGUACCUAAGGAGGAAGCCACGGCUAACUACGUGCCAGCAGCCGCGGUAAUACGUAGGUGGCAAGCGUUGUCCGGAAUUACUGGGUGUAAAGGGAGCGUAGGCGGUUAUGCAAGUUGAAUGUGAAAUCUAUCGGCUCAACUGAUAGGCUGCGUUCAAAACUGUAUAUCUUGAGUGAAGUAGAGGCAGGCGGAAUUCCUAGUGUAGCGGUGAAAUGCGUAAAUAUUAGGAGGAACACCAGUGGCGAAGGCGGUCUGCUGGGCUUUAACUGACGCUGAGGCUCGAAAGCGUGGGUAGCAA